ACCUCAUAUUGAUAUCUGUGAAAACAAACAAAGAUAAGAAAGUGGCAGAUGUUGUUAUAUUGCUUGACUGGGCCAGAACAUGCUCUUCACGCUUUCCAUAUGUUAACUAGUAAUCCUCCCCAUCUCUGGAGAGAUGAAGACACUGUGGUUGGAGAGACAAAGUAACGUGUCUAAAUUCAUGCAGUUGGUAAGGGGUGAGGUCAGAAUAUGAACCCAGAUCCAUCUAACAUGAAGCCAUGCCCUUCUUGGGCAUUGUUUUCCACUACCAGCUUCUGUACUGUGCCAGGAUACACCAUCUACAGAGGGCCCUGGGAGGCUCAUGGAUCACGUGAGAAGUUGCCACCACAGAUGGAAAACCACUGAAAGGAGGAUAGGUGGCUCAAAGACAAAGUUCCCCCACUGUCUAAUUGUAACUCUGGGCUGUCAGGGGCUUCAGGGCACCAUGGUAGCUGUUGUCCAAGGUGCCUGCAUUUGUCACCUGCCUCAGACACCCACAACUGCCAUGGGGGCACAGCCAGUGCAAUGUGGAGGUGCAAGCACCCUGGGUGGCUUAGAGAUUGAUGUGUAGAGAUUAUCAGCCCCCCUUUUAUUUUGAAGCUUUUUGGUGCAAAAUAAAAACUCAUAAACUAA